CUCACCGCCAGAUGAAUGCCA
rnacentral:miRNA from 1 species